rnacentral:rRNA from 1 species
GGGUUGUGAGGUUAAGCGACUAAGCGUACACGGUGGAUGCCCUGGCAGUCAGAGGCGAUGAAGGACGUGCUAAUCUGCGAAAAGCGUCGGUAAGGUGAUAUGAACCGUUAUAACCGGCGAUGUCCGAAUGGGGAAACCCAGUGCAAUUCGUUGCACUAUCGUUAACUGAAUACAUAGGUUAACGAGGCGAACCGGGGGAACUGAAACAUCUAAGUACCCCGAGGAAAAGAAAUCAACCGAGAUUCCCCCAGUAGCGGCGAGCGAACGGGGAGCAGCCCAGAGUCUGAAUCAGCUUGUGUGUUAGUGGAACGGUCUGGAAAGUCCGACGGUACAGGGUGAUAGUCCCGUACACCAAAAUGCACAGGUUGUGAACUCGAAGAGUAGGGCGGGACACGUGGUAUCCUGUCUGAAUAUGGGGGGACCAUCCUCCAAGGCUAAAUACUCCUGACUGACCGAUAGUGAACCAGUACCGUGAGGGAAAGGCGAAAAGAACCCCGGCGAGGGGAGUGAAAAAGAACCUGAAACCGUGUACGUACAAGCAGUGGGAGCACCUUCGGGUGUGACUGCGUACCUUUUGUAUAAUGGGUCAGCGACUUAUAUUCUGUAGCAAGGUUAACCGUAUAGGGGAGCCGCAGGGAAACCGAGUCUUAACUGGGCGUUAAGUUGCAGGGUAUAGACCCGAAACCCGGUGAUCUAGCCAUGGGCAGGUUGAAGGUUGGGUAACACUAACUGGAGGACCGAACCGACUAAUGUUGAAAAAUUAGCGGAUGACUUGUGGCUGGGGGUGAAAGGCCAAUCAAACCGGGAGAUAGCUGGUUCUCCCCGAAAGCUAUUUAGGUAGCGCCUCGUGAAUUCAUCUUCGGGGGUAGAGCACUGUUUCGGCUAGGGGGUCAUCCCGACUUACCAACCCGAUGCAAACUACGAAUACCGAAGAAUGUUAUCACGGGAGACACACGGCGGGUGCUAACGUCCGUCGUGAAGAGGGAAACAACCCAGACCGCCAGCUAAGGUCCCAAAGUCAUGGUUAAGUGGGAAACGAUGUGGGAAGGCACAGACAGCCAGGAUGUUGGCUUAGAAGCAGCCAUCAUUUAAAGAAAGCGUAAUAGCUCACUGGUCGAGUCGGCCUGCGCGGAAGAUGUAACGGGGCUAAACCAUGCACCGAAGCUGCGGCAGCGACACUAUGUGUUGUUGGGUAGGGGAGCGUUCUGUAAGCCUGCGAAGGUGUGCUGUGAGGCAUGCUGGAGGUAUCAGAAGUGCGAAUGCUGACAUAAGUAACGAUAAAGCGGGUGAAAAGCCCGCUCGCCGGAAGACCAAGGGUUCCUGUCCAACGUUAAUCGGGGCAGGGUGAGUCGACCCCUAAGGCGAGGCCGAAAGGCGUAGUCGAUGGGAAACAGGUUAAUAUUCCUGUACUUGGUGUUACUGCGAAGGGGGGACGGAGAAGGCUAUGUUAGCCGGGCGACGGUUGUCCCGGUUUAAGCAUGUAGGCUGGUUGUCCAGGCAAAUCCGGAUAAUCAAGGCUGAGGUGUGAUGACGAGGCACUACGGUGCUGAAGUAACAAAUGCCCUGCUUCCAGGAAAAGCCUCUAAGCAUCAGGUAACAUCAAAUCGUACCCCAAACCGACACAGGUGGUCAGGUAGAGAAUACCAAGGCGCUUGAGAGAACUCGGGUGAAGGAACUAGGCAAAAUGGUGCCGUAACUUCGGGAGAAGGCACGCUGGUGUGUAGGUGAAGUCCCUGCGGAUGGAGCUGAGACCAGUCGAAGAUACCAGCUGGCUGCAACUGUUUAUUAAAAACACAGCACUGUGCAAACACGAAAGUGGACGUAUACGGUGUGACGCCUGCCCGGUGCCGGAAGGUUAAUUGAUGGGGUUAUCCGUAAGGAGAAGCUCUUGAUCGAAGCCCCGGUAAACGGCGGCCGUAACUAUAACGGUCCUAAGGUAGCGAAAUUCCUUGUCGGGUAAGUUCCGACCUGCACGAAUGGCGUAAUGAUGGCCAGGCUGUCUCCACCCGAGACUCAGUGAAAUUGAACUCGCUGUGAAGAUGCAGUGUACCCGCGGCAAGACGGAAAGACCCCGUGAACCUUUACUAUAGCUUGACACUGAACAUUGAGCCUUGAUGUGUAGGAUAGGUGGGAGGCUUUGAAGCGUGGACGCCAGUCUGCGUGGAGCCAACCUUGAAAUACCACCCUUUAAUGUUUGAUGUUCUAACGUUGGCCCCUUACCGGGGUUGCGGACAGUGUCUGGUGGGUAGUUUGACUGGGGCGGUCUCCUCCCAAAGCGUAACGGAGGAGCACGAAGGUUAGCUAAUCCUGGUCGGACAUCAGGAGGUUAGUGCAAUGGCAUAAGCUAGCUUGACUGCGAGCGUGACGGCGCGAGCAGGUGCGAAAGCAGGUCAUAGUGAUCCGGUGGUUCUGAAUGGAAGGGCCAUCGCUCAACGGAUAAAAGGUACUCCGGGGAUAACAGGCUGAUACCGCCCAAGAGUUCAUAUCGACGGCGGUGUUUGGCACCUCGAUGUCGGCUCAUCACAUCCGGGCUGAAGUAGGUCCCAAGGGUAUGGCUGUUCGCCAUUUAAAGUGGUACGCGAGCUGGGUUUAGAACGUCGUGAGACAGUUCGGUCCCUAUCUGCCGUGGGCGCUGGAGAAUUGAGGGGGGCUGCUCCUAGUACGAGAGGACCGGAGUGGACGCAUCACUGGUGUUCGGGUUGUCAUGCCAAUGGCACUGCCCGGUAGCUAAAUGCGGAAGAGAUAAGUGCUGAAAGCAUCUAAGCACGAAACUUGCCCCGAGAUGAGUUCUCCCUGAGACUUUAAGUCUCCUGAAGGAACGUUAAAGACGAUGACGUUGAUAGGCCGGGUGUGUAAGCGCAGCGAUGCGUUGAGCUAACCGGUACUAAUGAACCGUGAGGCUUAACCUUACAACGCCGAAG